CAGGUGCUGCAUGGCUGUCGUAAGCUCGUGUCGUGAGAUGUUAGGUUAACUCCUUUUAACGGGCGAAACCCCUUUUUUUCGUUGCUACUUAAUUUUAUUUUUAAAGCACUCUAAAAAAACUGCUCCCUUUUUUUAAUUCGGAGAGGAAGGUGGGGAUGACGUCAAGUCCUUAUGGCCCUUAUGAACUGGGCUACACACGUGCUACAAUGGUAAAGACAAUAAGAAGUGAUAGGGUAACCUAAAACCAAUCUUUAAACUUUAUCAAAGUUCGGAUUGUGGACUGCAACUCGUCCAUAUGAAGGUGGAAUCACUAGUAAUCGCACAUCAGCAUGUUGCGGUGAAUUUGUACCUAGGCCUUGUACACACCGCCCGUCACGUGCCGGGAGUUGGCUUGGUUAGAAACUUAUUUCUUAACCAAGAAGAAAAAAAAAUGCUUCAUUUUGAAAUUAUUUUUUUUUUAGUAUUGGAAAGAUUAAACUACGAACGAGUCGAUGACUGGGAUGAAGUCGUAACAAGGUAGUCGUACGGGAACGUGCGGCUGGAAUUUUUAAAAA
rnacentral:ncRNA from 1 species